rnacentral:pre_miRNA from 1 species
GUUUGAGAUGAACAAAGAAAGGGAUUUCUUGAGAUGGAAUCUACUCCUGGUGAAGAUGCCAGGAA